rfam:Ciona savignyi cont_7287, whole genome shotgun sequence.
GGGGGUGUACCUCAGAUGGUAGAGCGCGCGCUUAGCAUGCGCGAGGUACCGGGAUCGAUACCCGGCACCUCCA